AGAACGAAUAGUUCUGCUUUGCAAAAAAAGAUUUUUAGUGUUUUUUAUUAUUUAUCUGUGGCUUCUCUUCAAUAUUUGACUCCAGUUAUCCUUUUGGUCUUUCUGACGAUAUCUUUAAGAACUGCAGGUACUACCGACUGGGAGUCGACCAAUGCUUUAAUGAAACGUCUUCA